CUCUCAAUGUCUCUAAAUCAAGAAUUCAAAGAAUUCUAAAAGGACACUAAGUGUUCCAACCAUUCUUCUCUCAACCUCUCUACUUCUCUCAAAUCUUCAAAGCAAGGAAGAGAAUUCUAAGAGUUCUAAAAGAAGACACUAAGUGUUUUAAAGGAAGCUUUGAAGCUCCAACUCUUCACGGAAUCACCAAAGGAAACUUUGCAAAACUGUUCACAGGUACUUCUUCAAAGGUACUGUAAUUAUCAGACGAUGACUCGUAUCUAGUUCUUCUGACUCAGUGGUAAGAACUCAAGAAUUCCCUCUACAAUUUUCGGCCAAGGUAUGGUUGUCAAGAGGAUUUUUCAAGUGAGUUCAUAAGUGUAGAAAUCCUAGCAAAACCUAAGGUGUUCGUUGGAGGCUUGGGGUAUGCAAGCUCGAGAUCUUCUCCUUUGAAGAUUUCCAUUCAAGAAUAUCAUCUUCUUCAUAUCACUUUGCUCUUUGAGUGGUAGUAUUCUAAAACACCCUAUGGUUGUAUUUUGAUAGCAUGCAUGUUUUAUA